rnacentral:misc_RNA from 1 species
UGCUGGAGUUGAUCCCGCCUCGCCCAUUCCCGUACGCUGCCAGUGCUUCACUCCUUUUUCUUUCCGGGAACACAGAAGGAGCAGUCGUGGACGGCGCGCGAUGCACGCCACCGCCUUACAUUGCGGGAUGUCCCGUAGUGAGCGGGCGAAGAUAGACCAAGGUGCGGCGAAGUCGAGGCAGCGUCUUGCACGGGGUUGGGUGCGAAGGGCCACGCCGCGUCAGUGGUGCGCUGACGUUCUUUUUGCUUCACUUAUUUUGUGUUUUCGCAGCCGCCAAAAGCAAACUAAAGAAGGAGUCGAAACUGGAGAGGGGAGAGGACGAGUCCGGAUAGGCGCGGCCCCCUCCAUCCCUCUCAUGUAGGAAAAGGGCCUCGGCAUUCCAUUGAGGCGGAGACUGAGCCCAUCGUGUGGGGGAGAAGGGCGGAGGGGCGGGGGCGGCUCGAGGCUCUGAGAUGGUGAUUGAAGACAGCAAGAAGAAGCGGCACCAACGUAAGUGCAGCCUUGGAAGGAGGAAGACGUGAAGAUGGGCUGAUGCGUCUGGUUCACCUGGUAGACGAGAGAACAUAGGGAGCCAAGCCAAAAGGUGGUGUUUUGGCGUGCAGGAGAACUCUGUAUCGUCUUGCUCACCCCUUGCGGGGGGGGGAGACGCGCCACAACAGAAAGGGAGAUGUGGAGAAGCCGCACAUGCAAAACCGCAGCAGGCUGGAAAAAAAAAGAAAGCGAAAGCAGAAAGAGCGCAGCACACGUAUGCCACUUCGUUUCCUCGAAUAGCGAAAAAUUAAAGAGCCGAAAAAGAAUUUCGAGUUCUGCUCAUUUCCACAAGCCAAGAGCAAAGUCCGAGGCACGAGAGAGAGAAAAGAAGGCGAUGGGACGUCAGAGAUGCGCAGCGAAAAAAAACGAACAUACAACAACGUGUUUGACUGAAGGCGUGCAGCCGCCCCUUACGACUUGCCGUGUACGUGUCCUUCUCAUUCUUUCAUCCACUAUCUUUUUGUUUCAGCGAUGGUUUUCUCCCGUUUCUGAGAGCCUUGUGUGCAACUUGAUCAAGGGCGCGUGGCUUUGUGUCGUUCCUGUUCUUGCUGUCCGCGAGGUGUGCUGGGCCAACGACGGGGCGAUCAAGAGCGUGGGUGGCCUUCGUACACCGGACAAGUCACGUACACAUGAACUUUUACACACACGCUAUCACUCACCGCGUAGACGUGCACACGGUGAAAUACUUUCUUCUCCGUUUUCGUGUGCUACAACUUUCGAACAAUGCCACCGAACCCUG